UACGAAGGGGAGGCUAGCGUUGUUCGGAAUUACUGGGCGUAAAGCGCGCGCAGGCGGCUAUCCAAGUCAGUGGUGAAAGCCCGGAGCUCAACUCCGGAACUGCCAUUGAAACUGUUUAGCUUGAGUAUGAGAGAGGUGAGUGGAAUUCCCCAGUGUAGAGGUGAAAAUUCGUAGAUAUUGGGAAGAACACCGGUGGCGAAGGCGGCUCACUGGCUCAUUACUGACGCUCAGGCGCGACAGCGUGGGGAGCAAACAGG
rnacentral:rRNA from 1 species